ensembl:lncRNA
GUCCAACCGAUAGAAGUUAAUUGUGGGUCAAAAUCUCUUUUUAACCUUUUGUAUUAUAAUGACUCUUAAGAGAUACAGAUUUAAAAUAAAAUCACAUCUGAUUAAAUUAUUAAACUGAUUUAAGUUAGUAUUAUUCUAAUCAUUCUGUUCAAAUAUGAUUUCCUCAUUUUAGUAUUGAAUUUGAAAUGUAAUUGUAGGGAGUUCCUUAUUGUGGUACAGCAGAAAUGAAUCUGACUAGUAUCCAUGAGGACGCAGGUUCAAUCCCUGACCUCACUUAGUGGGUUAAGGAUCCGGCAUUACUAUGAACUGUGGGGUAGUUCACAGAUGCAGCUUGGAUCUGGCGUUGCUGUGGCAUAGGCCGGUGGCUAUAGUUCUGAUUCGACCCCUAGCCUGGGAACCUCCAGAUGCAACGGGUGCAGCCCUAAAGGACAAAAAAUAAAAAGAAGUAAAUAAAAAUAAAUUUAAAAAAAACCUGUGGAAAUUAAUAACAAUGUUUUGUUUUAGCUUUUCCCUUUGAUUUUGGUGUUUUAAAUUUGAAUUCUUCUGUUGAAAAUGUCAAUACUAGUUUAAAUUUUGUUUAACCUGAUUUCUAAUGUUCUAAGUCUUGCCAUUAGAAAAACUCGUCAACUUCUUAUUCACGUAAUUAUUUUGAACAUUUUCCUAAUGUAUAUGUUCAUGGAGGAAGUUAGAUAGAGUUGGUUGCUAGGCCUCUUACCUCCUUCCCUCCCUUUUUUUCUUCCUCCUUUCCUUCCUUUUAAUUUUUAUAUUGAAAUAUUUUAGACUUUCAGAAGAGUUAACAAAAAUAGUACUUUUCACCCAACUUUUCCUAAUGGUUACACUAUAUAACCCCAUAGUAUAUUUUCCAAAACUAAGAAAUUGACAUUGAUAUAGUACUAUUAUUUAAAUUACUGACUUUAUUCGGAUUUGUUUCCUCUGCACCACGACAGGAACUCCUGAAAUUAAUCAUUUUAAAAUGAACAAUUCAGUCGCAUUUGGUUGUGGCGUAACCCACCACCUCUAUCUAAUUCCAAAACAUUUUCAUCACCUUAAAAGGAAACCCAUGCCCAUUAAUCACUUGCUCCCAAUUCCCCCUUUUCUCAGCCUCCCACUCCUAAUCCAUCUCUAAGGUUUAAUCUUGGGUAGUUCAUAGUAAUGGAAUCAUACAGUAAGUGUUGUUUUUGUUUCUGGCUUCUCUCAGUGUUAUAUUUUCAAGGUCCAUCCAUAUUUUAGUAUUUAUCUAGUACUUCAUUUCUUUUUAUGGCUGAAUAACAUUUCAUUUUACAUAUAUACCUCAGUUUGCUUAUCCAUUCAUCCGUUGAUUGACAUUUGGGCUGUUUCUAGUUUUUUGCUAUUGUGAAUAAUGCUGGUAUGAAUAAACAUGUGUGCACAUGUUUUGUUGAACUAUUGGAUCAUGUGGUAGUUCUAACAAACUUUCUGGUUCAGGUAUUCUUUAAUUCUUUUGGUUUUCAUUUUAUUGACUUUAAUUUUCUUAUAGAAUAAUAGGGUACCAUGACAUUUUGAGCAAAAAUAUUCUUUUAGGUUUUGCAUGUCAGAGUGAGUUAUGUUUUGAAACCUGGAGGUAUUUGUCAUUCUGAUUAAGCUAUUUUUUUCUGGAUUUGAUUGUUGACAUACUUUACCUGUUUUUCCCAUUUAUAAUGAUAACAAGAUACAGUGCUAGAUAGAAUCCAUGUGUUUGCUGUGUUUUAUAUGUUAUCAGUUGAUGUUAUAUUGCUUUGUCCUUAUUUCGAACAGUUUAUCUUCCAACAUACAGGAAAUUUACUAGUUUAAGGAAACAUUUAUAAUAAAUACCCUCAAAGAACAGUGUAAGGAAACUUUUUAUACUUUUAAAUAAUUUUUUCAUUUCAGAUUUGAGAUUUUUUUAAUAUAAUUUUGAACUUUGUAAUGAUUUAUCUUCACAGGAUAGGUUAAUACAAUGCUGUCUUGAUUUUAAAACUUGUUUUAUCCUUUUCCAUAUAGAGGCUAGAGAAAGGAAUGAUAAUUCUACUGGAAGCUUGGCAAAAUGGCAGAUGAGAAAGAAAGUCCUCUACUUAAGAAGAGAUCAGAUCUAUAAAGGCUGUUCUUUAGUCCAGUUUUCCUUAAUUUUGAGUAACUGGGGAACUCACAUGUAGUCUCUGAAUAUAUUUCCACCAAAGAAGAGUAUGAGUUGGUUCUUCAAUGGCUUAAAACCAAAUCUUUUGUCUUCAGUAGGUCUUCUUCUUCCAAAAAGGCCAGCAGCCUCUUAUGCCCAAACUCUGUUGGCCCAGGAGAUCUCCCUUUCCCCAUGUGGUAGGAAGCUCUGGUAGACCUGAAGCUUUUGAGUAGAGUCAAAGAAGCCUUGAACUUUUGGUCUGGGUGAGAAUUUCAGCUCUGGCAUUUUCAGCCUUGUUGGGUUUUAAGCUCUAGAGUAAAACUCAUGGCCUACUCUUGAUCUGACGCUAGACAUCUGAUGUGGACAUUGAUCCUGUAGCCCAAUGGUCUUCUUUGCAUUGGGGAGGAAAAGUUGUUGGAGUUUUUAUGGAAAAGGAGCAAAUGAAUGGACAGAGUAUUUGAGAACAACUUGAAGCAUAGAAGCUUGUUUCUGUUAGCAAUUCUCAGAAAUAAAGCAGUAUGUGAGGGCCUUGACUUAUACAGGUCUGGUGACGGAACUUAAAGUAGAGAGAUACCUCUGAAGAGGUAGCAUAUUUCCUCUAGAUUAAUGUCUCUCCAUCUCUAGUAUGUAGACUAAUGGAGCAGAUUUGAACUUAGCACUUUUGUUUCUUGCAGUUCAGGUUUUUUUUUUUCUCUUUUCCCUCAUGUCUAGGACCUCUGCUAGCUAGGUAAUUAUCUAAUGGUUUAUAGUGUCACUUGGGUAUGAAAGUGCCUUAGGCUAUUGCUGAGGUUUGGGCUGUUGGGGUGAUAAUAGUUAAACUUUGGACUGCACGUUUGGGAAUUGGAGUGUCUGUAUUCUGGGAUGCUUGGUGAUAACAAAGCCAUAUGUACUUAUAAACAUUCUUAUUAUUUUUGUAAACUCAUUUUUUUAGAAUUGAAAAUGUGUCACUUUUUUGAGUGUUCAAUUUUUAAAUAAAAAUGUUUAUGAAUUUUAGAUAUAUAAAGAGAUUUAAAUAAUAUUUAAGAAUCCUUUAGGUAUAGCAUGGUGACUUUAUAGUUAAUAAUAUAGUAUGGUGUAUUUGAAAGUUGCUAAGGGAGUAGAUCUAAGAAGUUCUCAACACAAGAAAAACAGUUGUAACUGUGUGUGCUAAUGGAUAUUAACUAGACUAAUUGUAAUCAUUUUGCAGUAUAUACUAAUAUCACUAUGUGUAAAAUAAGCUACAAGGAUAUAUUGUACAAUGCAGGGAAUAUAGCCAAUAUUUUAUAAUAACUAUAAAUGGAAUAUAACCUUUAAAAAUUGUGAAUUACUAUAUUGUUUACCUGAAACUUAUAUAAUCUUGUUCAUUAACUAUACUUCAAUAAAAAAUAAAAAUUAAAAAAUAUAUAUUAAAGUUGGAUAAUUUGGUAUACCUAAAAUUAAUAUAAUGUUAUAUGUCAAUUAUAUCUCAAUUAAAAAGGUAAAUUUUUUAAAAAAAUUCAAAUGAAUCAGAUAACUCAGUUUUACUUUUAAUAAAAGUAAUUGAAUAAGAACUUCAUCCAAUUUUUAAAAAGGAAAGAUAAAAAAUUCUUGAUUUUUAUUAAAAAGGAAAAUUACAUACAGCAAUUCUAAGAAUAGUAAUGUUACCAUUUUUUUCAUUGUUAGUGAGUUGUUGAGUCAAUCUGAUAGCAUCAGGAGUACUGUAAUAAAAUGAAAAUUUUGUAUAUGAACAUAGUAUAAAAUAUGAAUGUUCAUUUCUUUAGUCAGAAGGUGGAAAUUGCUUUGUAGAAUGAAGUUUAAAAGGAAUAUGAAAUUCAUAGGUGCUGUACCGUAAGUCACCAUUAUAACACAUUUACCACUUUGCAUGUUAAGCCAGCAACUUAGACUUCAGAAUUACAUCAGUGGAUACAUGCAUUAAAGACGAUCCCUCUGGAAAAAAAGGAAUAAAAUUCCUCCAGCAACUUUAAAUCAGGUGUAAAGAGGGCGGUACUUUUGUAAAUACAGAGCCACUGUGUGAAAGCCCUGCUUUGAAGCCUGAGACUAAAUUCGAAAGUGUGACAUAUUGUUUUCUUUUCUUUAAGGAACUCCAUUUGGCUUGUGUAGAGUGUUCUUCCCAACCCUUCCCUGCCCUCUUUGUGAAUUUUUCUUUAUGAGUAGGAGAGAAGUAAAAAUUAUAUUACCCAUUUGAAAUUAUUGCUUUAUUAUAUUACUGUUAAAAUUUAUUAAGCUGAUAAAUUAAAAAUGUCUUAUUUCAUCAUGUGCAUAUCUAUAUGUGUAUAUCCAUCAUAAUUAUCAUACUCCAAGUAUUUAUACUACUUCUACCCCAUUGCAAGCCACCAUUCUCUCUCACCUAGACUCUGUAGAAGUCUCUUAGCUGAUUUCUUUUUAUACCAGCCUCCCUCACCAACAAAUUUGUUCUCUAUGGAGCACCAAGUGAUUCUUUAGUAGUGAAUGUCAGAGCAGGCUACUCAAAAAUUCCACUUCUUGUUCAUUAAUUUCUUUUUGUUUUUAAUUUGAGUAUAGUUGAUUUAAAAUGUUGUGUUUUAGGUGUACCGCAAAGUGAUUCCAUUACACCUUAUGUUUAAGAGAUAGACAAUAUUUAAGAAAUAGGUCUCGAUAAUUGAUAGGUAUGGAAUAGCAAGGAUGAUGCAUAAGAGUCUACAUGGGAAGCUGGGUGGGAUGCUAUUUAGAGGUAAGGCACAGGUUUGGAGGUGGAGGGUUAUAGCUGUUUGAGUCCAGCCAGUGCUUGGAGUGUUAAAUUAGUUUCCUAGUGCUGCAGUAACAAAGGAUCAAAAUCUGGGUGGUUUAAAACAGUAGAGACUUAUUAUCUCAGUUCUAGAGGCUAAAAGUCCAAAAUCAAGGUGUUGCUAGGGCCAUGUUCUCUCUGACUGCUCUAGGGGAGAAUUCUUGCUUGCCACUUAAGCUUCUGAUGUUUGCCAGUAGUCCUUGAAGUUCUUUAGCUUGGGGAUGGCCAUCGUUCCUUGGGUGUCUUUCCCUCUGUGAGAGUCUCUCCAUGUCCAGAUUUCCCUUUUAAUAAAGAUACAGUCAGAUUUGUUCAGGGCCACCCUGAUGACCUCAUUUUAACUAUAUGAUUUCCCUAGAACUUGUUUCCAAAUAAGGUCAUACUCUGUGCUACUAGGGUUUAGGACUUCAACAUAUCUUUUGUGAUGAAUUUUACUAAAAAUUUAGGCUAUUUGAUACAUUGAAGUAAUAAAGGGUGGGAGAUCAGGAAGGUGAAAACAAAGGUAAAUACUGAGUUUUCAUGCUUUACUGAGAGAAUGCUGGUGCCGCUGGAAGGAAUGGGGGGAAGGAAAGUACAGAUUCCAGACAAGAAGAGAGGAGAGAGGGAAGUGAAUUUUGUUGUGAGCUGGCUGAAUUGGACUUUAGGUGAUUGUCACAUAGCUUCAUGAUCUAGUCAGAGUUGAGGGAAGAGCUCUGCAUCUUUUUUUAUCUUUUUUGUUUUGGCUGGGGGGAGUUUUUUAGGGCUGCAACUGUGGCAUAAGGAAGUUCCCAGGCGAGUGGUUGAAUCGGAGCUAUGGCUGCCAGCUACACCACAGCCACAGCAAUACGGAGUCUGAGCCAAGUUUGUGACCUACACCACAGCUCAUGGUAACGCAUGAUCCAUAACCCACUGAGGAGGCCAGGGAUCAAACCUGCAUCCUCAUGGAUACUAGUUGGAUUCGUGACCACUGAGCCGCAACGGGUAUUCUGAGAUCUGCAUCUUGAUCACAGCUUUGCUAUGGAAAUGUCUGGGUUCUCAGAGGAGGGAGGCCAGAGAGUCUGAGAUCUGGGUCUCAAAAGGAAGCUAAAAGAGAAGGUCACUUGUUGAAGUGGAUGCCUUCAUCCAUUAUAGAAAAAAAAAAAAGUCUUAUGAGAAGAUCUCUCCCUUUACUCUAAAUGGCAGUUCUAGUAACGUCUAGAUAGUGAAUUUAGUAGCCGAAGUGGUCGAUGCAUGAACAGAAGUAGAGUUACCAGUUCCUGACAGCUGCGAGUCAGCCUCUGGGCAUCUUGCUAAAUUUUCAAAUAUAAUUAUACAGUAGACUUCCUUUAACAAAUUCUGUGUUCCCGGCUAUAAUUAUAACUGCUUUUCCUGCCUAUAGCCUGUUCUUUGUCUUACUACUCUCCUCCUCAUCUCCCCCUGCUGGUUAGAACUAUCUUCUGGUCAUUUGGGAUCUGAGAAAAUAAGAAGCUUUUACUGCAGUUUCCUUUCUUAAGCCUAGACCUAACAGGGUACACCAGGUUCCUUCUUUUCACUUUACUUAUUUUAAGUAAUAGGUAAUAUUUUAAAGCACAAUCUAGCAAUAUUCUAUAUUAAAGUACUUUUUAUUUUCAGACAAUGAGAUACAAAUGAGGUACAUUGUAAACUGUCUAUGCAACUACCAGAAAAUGACGUUCACAUCCUGUCCAGUGCUCCAUGUAUUAGUGAAGACUCUUAAAUAAGAUCUUAUUCAUGGCUAUGCUUUAGACCAAGAGUUGUUGCUUAUUAAAUUAAGGUUUGUAACCAAAAGUGCAGUCAUCAUAAAUCCUACAACCAUAAUCCUGCAAUAGUUUCCAAGACUCAUCGUGACAGUAAUUUGUAAAAUCAGAAAUAUGAGUGAGAUUUCCUGUUUUCUCAUCUAUUUUUAUCACCCAGAUAUCUCUUGUGAAAAUAAAUCACUUUAAAACAUGAUUUGUUAUCCUUUAUAAAUAUACUGUAGUUUGGGGUGAUAAACUUCAAGGAUGUAGUUCCACGUCAUUUAGAUUAUAUUCUAAGUCAUUUUAAUGUCUUUUUAAGAAAUAACUAAAAUGUAUAGAUUUCUGAAUGUGCAGAAGGAGAUAUGUGCUUGAACUUUUAGGCUGCAGUAGAAGUAGUCCAGAAGGAAUUAUGGACUGCUUUCAGUUAUACAUUGUGUAUAUAUUGUUCAUCACUAUCUUAUUUACUAAAAAAAAAAAAAACAAAAACA